UUUUGAUGCAUCAUGUGGUGUUCAUUGCAAAUAUCCAUGUGAAUUGAGUAAAAAUGAUUGAAAGGAAUUUACAAGAACAGAUUGGACAUAGAGCUCGUGUAAAUUAAGAGGGAAAAAAUCCGUGAAACGAGAAAGUGUAGUUUGGGAAUAUUACUGUCAUCGUGUUGAUCAGGGUAUCGGCAAUUUUCCUUACUACUGACAUCAGUAUGGUCUAUGUCGGAAGUUUAGCUUCUAUGGUAAUCCACCAGAAUCCAAGAGUAAGCCCUCAGAGAGGAGUUGCAGUCCGAUUGUGUCAGCUUACUCAACUUGAAGAGGGAAGAUAAUGUACCGGCGCCACCGGUACAUUUGGACAGCUGUUUGAACAGCUUAAUAGAAUGAUCAAGAACUUGUUUGACUGAAGAGAUAGAAUGAAAAGGGAAGACCCAAAAGUGUUUUAUAACAGACACUGUGAGAGUACCGGAAUGCGCAAGAUGGUUUGCAUCAUGGUUAUGAAGGAAAAGCUGACAGUAUUUUUGAGACAGCAAGAAAAACAUCAUUGCACACCAUCAACUAAUGACUCCAAAGGAAUAACAAAGAUUAGAGUUCAAAGAAUGGAUUCAAUGCUGGUACUUGGAUAAAGAUAAUCAGGCAUGAACUCUCAUAUCCCAUGUAUCUUCAGCACCUUUAGGUUACAGUUUUAUAUUUCACUAGAAGAGACUCAUAAAUAAACAAAGGACAGUCAGUUACUACAAAAGAGAAGCAUCAGAGAUUAGUGAUAUUUUGUUCAGCAUUAUUGCAUCUUACAAAAUGUAAUCUAUUAAAAUUUUGUUUACAUCUAUCAAUUAAUGAUUUUGAUACAUGUACCAGUAAUAAAUAAUUUUGAUGUGGGGUAAACUGAUAAAAUUGAAUGGAAAACAAGCAGAUGACUUGGUAAUGAUGUGUAAAAGACAUCAUUCAUUUAAUUAAUACAUGUAAUUGCAUGCAGUUAAAAUUCAGUCAAAAUUCUUGUGGUGUAUAUUGAAAGGUGUAACCAAGAGGGAAACAUAAAAUGAUUUUCAUAUUAUCAUUAAAAUAAAAGUCAAGUUGUAUAUUAUACAAUUAUUUCUGUUUUUGAGGUCAUUACAAUGGUUUGGCUUGCCUAGGUGUAUGCAUUUACUGAUCCUAAAGAAGGAAGUAAAUAUUG